rnacentral:rRNA from 1 species
UACUCCUACGGGAGGCAGCAGUGGGGAAUAUUGCACAAUGGGCGCAAGCCUGAUCCAGCCAUACCGCGUGUGUGAAGAAGGCCUUCGGGUUGUAAAGUCCUUUGUCGGGGAGGAAAUCCAGCUGGUUGUACCUGGUGGAAUGACGGUAUCCCCCA